AACGAACGCUGGCGGCAGGCUAAACACAUGCAAGUCGAGCGCCCCGCAAGGGGAGCGGCAGACGGGUGAGUAACGCGUGGGAAUCUACCCAUCUCUACGGAAUAACGCAUGGAAACGUGUGCUAAUACCGUAUACGUCCUUCGGGAGAAAGAUUUAUCGGAGAUGGAUGAGCCCGCGUUGGAUUAGCUAGUUGGUGGGGUAAAGGCCUACCAAGGCGACGCUCCAUAGCUGGUCUGAGAGGAUGAUCAGCCACACUGGGACUGAGACACGGCCCAGACUCCUGCGGGGGCAGCAGUGGGGAAUAUUGGACAAUGGGCGCAAGCCUGAUCCAGCCAUGCCGCGUGAGUGAUGAAGGCCUUAGGGUUGUAAAGCUCUUUCACCGGAGAAGAUAAUGACGGUAUCCGGAGAAGAAGCCCCGGCUAACUUCGUGCCAGCCGCCGCGGUAAGAC
rnacentral:rRNA from 1 species